UGGACUGGGCAAGCCCAUGGGCGG
rnacentral:siRNA from 1 species